rnacentral:rRNA from 1 species
AUUGAACGCUGGCGGCAUGCUUUACACAUGCAAGUCGAACGGUAACAGGCCGCAAGGUGCUGACGAGUGGCGAACGGGUGAGUAAUGCAUCGGAACGUGCCCAGUCGUGGGGGAUAACGCAGCGAAAGCUGUGCUAAUACCGCAUACGAUCUAUGGAUGAAAGCGGGGGACCGUAAGGCCUCGCGCGAUUGGAGCGGCCGGUGUCAGAUUAGGUAGUUGGUGGGGGAAAGGCCUACCAAGCCAACGAUCUGUAGCUGGUCUGAGAGGACGACCGGCCACACUGGGACUGGGACACGGCCCAGACUACUACGGGAGGCAGCAGUGGGGAAUUUUGGACAAUGGGCGCAAGCCUGAUCCAGCAAUGCCGCGUGCAGGAAGAAGGCCUUCGGGUUGUAAACUGCUUUUGUACGGAACGAAACGGUCUGGGUUAAUACCCUGGACUAAUGACGGUACCGUAAGAAUAAGCACCGGCUAACUACGUGCCAGCCGCCGCGGUAACAC